rnacentral:rRNA from 1 species
UACGAAGGGGGCUAGCGUUGCUCGGAAUUACUGGGCGUAAAGGGCGCGUAGGCGGAUAGUUUAGUCAGAGGUAAAAGCCCAGGGCUCAACCUUGGAACUGCCUUUGUGACUGCAUGACUAGAGUACGGUAGAGGGGGAUGGAAUUCCGCGUGUAGCAGUGAAAUGCGUAGAGAUGUGGAGGAACACCGAUGGCGAAGGCAGCCCCCUGGGUCAAGAUUGACGCUCAUGCACGAAAGCGUGGGGAGCAAACAGG